AGCCCGAUAGUCUAGCGGUCAAGGAUUCUGCCCUCUGGAUCUCACAAAGUGGAUAUAGGCGGAGACGGCAGUUCGAAUCUGCCUCGGGCUA
rnacentral:tRNA from 7 species